rnacentral:rRNA from 1 species
AUUGAACGCUGGCGGCAUGCCUUACACAUGCAAGUCGAACGGCAGCACGGGUGCUUGCACCUGGUGGCGAGUGGCGAACGGGUGAGUAAUAUAUCGGAACGUACCUUAUUGUGGGGGAUAACGCAGCGAAAGCUGUGCUAAUACCGCAUAAUCCCUAAGGGGGAAAGCAGGGGACCGUAAGGCCUUGCGCAAUUAGAGCGGCCGAUACCUGAUUAGCUAGUUGGUGAGGUAAAGGCUCACCAAGGCAACGAUCAGUAGCUGGUCUGAGAGGACGAUCAGCCACACUGGGACUGAGACACGGCCCAGACUCCUACGGGAGGCAGCAGUGGGGAAUUUUGGACAAUGGGGGAAACCCUGAUCCAGCAAUGCCGCGUGAGUGAAGAAGGCCUUCGGGUUGUAAAGCUCUUUUGUCAGGGAAGAAACAGCAGCUCUAACACAGUUUGCGAAUGACGGUACCUGAAGAAUAAGCACCGGCUAACUACGUGACG